UUCAAUUGAAUUCUUUUCUACGAAACACUAAAGUCAAAAUACCAUUUUUCAUCCUUAAAUAUCUUCCCCAAAAUAUUUUCAGACUUAACUUGUUCACAAGUUAACUGAACUCCACACUCUUCUCUUCCCACAUUUUUGGAGUGAAAUCCCACAUUCUCUGUGUGUGUGUGUGUGUGUGUGUGAAGUUUGAUGAAUUUCAACCACCUGAUCUUCUCCUCUUCCCAUCAAUCAAGAAUUUGCAGAAGCUCAAGUCCAAAAUGGCAGAGACAUCAUCAACAAGAGAUAAAUUUCUCUAAAUCUGGAGAAAUUUCCUCUUUUUGGGUGUGUCUUCAGCUACCCUAAGCUGGAAUGCCAAAAACAACCAUAUAUUAGGGAAUUUGCAGAGGUGAAAAACAAGAAAUUUGUGAUAGCUAAAUUGGGAAAUGAUCCAUUGAAGAUUAGUAGGAAAAAGGAGUUGCUCUAAUUAUUGGGACAAGCAUUGGCACAGGGAUUCUUGCUCUUCCAAAGAAGACUUCCCCUGCAGUAACUCUCUUAUCUCUCUCUCUCUAGAUUUGCUUAGACAUGAAACAAGAUUAUAUGUAGAAUUGAAGUGCAUAAUGUCAUUAAUUUGCCCAUGAUGAAAUGUGGGGUGUGAAAAAGAUUCAAUUUUGUGCAUAUAUUUCUUGCAAUUCCACUUUUUAUUAUUAAUGUGAAA